UUGUCUAGGUAGAGUGUGCCUCUGUUUUUACACCCACUAUAAGGAUAGACAGUGUCGUCAAAAUAAUCGGCCAAAUGAUCACCGAGAAGAGGGAGAAGAGAUAUGAUGUAAAUACUUUUCCGGUUCUGCCACGGAGCUGCCUUUAACAAACGUUCAACGUUCUUUUAAGAGGAUGAGACUCGAUCAUCGCCGUUGCCUGUUGAAGAGCGCUCUAUCCUUCUAGCCGUUUCCAAGGAAGCCACUGCACAUGUCUCCCAACGAUGUACACGGCCUGGACGCCCUCCACCGCCACUUCCUUUACGCCGUCGGUUGUAACUUCGCCUUGGCCUUCUUGAUGCACGUACUCUAGCUCUGGAACACAGUCGAUGCGGUAUUCUUGGAGGAUGCCGAGUAGCCGACCACGCUGCUACCACCGGCCAACCACGAACAGAUGCUCGAGCUUGGGUUGCCAUCGCAGUCGCUGGUAGAGGUACUGCCGCUGUGAUCGCCCUCUU
rnacentral:rRNA from 1 species